AGAGUUUGAUCCUGGCUCAGAACGAACGUGGCGGCGUGGAUUAGGCAUGCAAGUCGAACGAAUCCCAUCUGGGCAACUGGGUGGGGGAAGUGGCGAAAGGGGCAGUAAGGCGUGGGCAACCUACCCCGGGGACGGGCAUAGCCGUCCUAACGGACGGGUAAUUCCUGGCGAUCCGGCGAGGGGGGCAUCUCCUUGCCGGGAAACGAGUUUCGCCUCGGGAGGGGCUCACGUAGUAUUAGCUUGUUGGUGGGGUAACGGCCUACCAAGGCGAAGAUGCUUAGCGGGUGUGAGAGCACGACCCGCGCCACUGGCACUGCGACACUGGCCAGACUCCUACGGGAGGCUGCAGUCGAGGAUCUUCGGCAAUGGGCGCAAGCCUGACCGAGCGACGCCGCGUGUGCGAAGAAGGCCUUCGGGUUGUAAAGCACUGUCGAGGGGAAGAAAGCCGCAAGGUUGAUCGACCCCUGGAGGAAGCACGGGCUAAGUUCGUGCCAGCAGCCGCGGUAAGACGAACCGUGCGAACGUUGUUCGGAUUCACUGGGCUUAAAGGGCGCGUAGGCGGGGGUUCGAGUCGGUGGUGAAAUCUUUCGGCUCAACCGGAAAAUCGCCUCCGAUACUGGAUCUCUCGAGGGGGGUAGGGGCAUGCGGAACUUCGGGUGGAGCGGUGAAAUGCGUAGAUAUCCGAAGGAACGCCGGUGGCGAAAGCGGCGUGCUGGACCCUUUCUGACGCUGAGGCGCGAAAGCCAGGGGAGCAAACGGGAUUAGAUACACCGGUAGUCCUGGCCCUAAACGAUGGGUACUGGGUUGUGGACUGGACAUGGGUUCAC
rnacentral:rRNA from 1 species